AGAGUUUGAUCCUGGCUCAGAACGAACGCUGGCGGCGUGGAUAAGACAUGCAAGUCGAACGCUGACUUUCAGGUAGCAAUAUUUGAAAGUCGGAGUGGCGCAAGGGUGCGUAACACGUGGAUCAUCUGCCGUGAAGCCUGGGAUAACUCGCUGAAAGGCGAGCUAAUACCGGAUGUGAACGAGAGUUUAAAGCUGGGGACCGCAAGGCCUGGCACUUCACGAUGAGUCCGCGGCCUAUCAGCUAGUUGGUGAGGUAAUGGCUCACCAAGGCUAAGACGGGUAGCUGGUCUGAGAGGACGACCAGCCUCACUGGAACUGAGACACGGUCCAGACACCUACGGGUGGCAGCAGUCGAGAAUUUUUCUCAAUGGGCGAAAGCCUGAAGGAGCGACGCCGCGUGGGGGAUGAAUGGCUUCGGCCCGUAAACCC
rnacentral:rRNA from 1 species